GGAUGAACGCUAGCGGCAGGCUUAACACAUGCAAGUCGAGGGGUAUUAGUUUUCGGACUAAGAGACCGGCGCACGGGUGCGUAACGCGUAUGCAAUCUACCUUUUACAGAGGGAUAGCCCAGAGAAAUUUGGAUUAAUACCUCAUAGUAUAUAGACCUGGCAUCAGGAUUAUAUUAAAGUCACAACGGUAAAAGAUGAGCAUGCGUCCCAUUAGCUAGUUGGUAAGGUAACGGCUUACCAAGGCAACGAUGGGUAGGGGUCCUGAGAGGGAGAUCCCCCACACUGGUACUGAGACACGGACCAGACUCCUACGGGAGGCAGCAGUGAGGAAUAUUGGACAAUGGGCGCAAGCCUGAUCCAGCCAUGCCGCGUGCAGGAUGACGGUCCUAUGGAUUGUAAACUGCUUUUGUACGAGAAGAAACACUCCGACGUGUCGGAGCUUGACGGUAUCG
rnacentral:rRNA from 1 species